UAAAAUAGGGUGUUUGGCACGUUAAUUUUUGGAGUUAAAGGAACUAAGGUAAUUCUGGUUAUUUUAA
rnacentral:tRNA from 1 species